UACGAAGGGGGCUAGCGUUGCUCGGAAUUACUGGGCGUAAAGGGAGCGUAGGCGGAUAGUUUAGUCAGAGGUGAAAGCCCAGGGCUCAACCUUGGAACUGCCUUUGAUACUGGCUAUCUUGAGUAUGGGAGAGGUGAGUGGAACUCCGAGUGUAGAGGUGAAAUUCGUAGAUAUUCGGAAGAACACCAGUGGCGAAGGCGACUCACUGGCCCAUUACUGACGCUGAGGCUCGAAAGCGUGGGGAGCAAACAGG
rnacentral:rRNA from 1 species